GACGAACGCUGGCGGCGUGCUUAACACAUGCAAGUCGAACGAUGAAGCCGGAGCUUGCUCCGGUGAAUUAGUGGCGAACGGGUGAGUAACACGUGAGUAACCUGCCCUUGACUCUGGGAUAACUGCGGGAAACUGUAGCUAAUACCGGAUACGACCCUCGGAGGCAUCUCCUGGGGGUGGAAAGAAUUUCGGUCAAGGAUGGACUCGCGGCCUAUCAGCUAGUUGGUGAGGUAAAGGCUCACCAAGGCGACGACGGGUAGCCGGCCUGAGAGGGUGACCGGCCACACUGGGACUGAGACACGGCCCAGACUCCUAAGGGAGGCAGCAGUGGGGAAUACUGCACAAUGGGCGCAAGCCUGAUGCAGCAACGCCGCGUGAGGGAUGACGGCCUUCGGGUUGUAAACCUCUUUUAGCAGGGAAGAAGCGAAAGUGACAGUACCUGCAGAAAAAGCACCGGCUAACUACGUGCCAGCAGCCGCCGUAA
rnacentral:rRNA from 1 species